CUAUCAGGUUGCCCUGGCUUAGAUUAAUACCCUAAAUAGCUCCUGGCAGGAUCAUCAACAAGAACUCUGAAGUCUGAUUCAACACCCGAACCCUCCUAAUCCAGACGAUCUCCCCUACUCCAUCCUGGAUCUUGCAACCUCCAACUAUCUUCUUGAAGCUAAGAAAAGAAGGUACGAUUCAUGGGAGAGGAAGAAGAGAAGAGGAAGAAAAUAAUCAAACACCCACCAGUUUCUGUCCUGGAGAGAUGAAGUCAUGCACCCACCAUCUAGAGCACCCCACUUCCACUGUGGAGGUUCCGUCUCCAUCUUCCUUCAUGAGAU